rnacentral:rRNA from 1 species
UAGGGAAUAUUAGUAAUGGGCGAAAGCCUGAACUAGCAACACCGCGUGUGCGAAGAAGGCCUUCGGGUUGUAAAGCACUUUUUGAGAGGAUGAGGAAGGACGGUACUCUCAGAAUAAGUCUCGGCUAACUACGUGCCAGCAGCCGCGGUAACACGUAGGAGGCAAACGUUAUCCGGAUUUACUGGGCGUAAAGCGCGUGUAGGUGGUUUGGUAAGUAGAGCGUGAAAGCUCCUGGCUCAACUGGGAGAGGUCGUUCUAAACUGCCGGACUAGAGGAUGGUAGAGGGAGGUGGAAUUCCGGGUGUAGCGGUGGAAUGCGCAGAUAUCCGGAGGAACACCAGUGGCGAAAGCGGCCUCCUGGGCCAUUUCUGACGCUAAGACGCGAAAGCUAGGGUAGCAAACG